CCCACCAAUGACUGGCUGCGACAAACAAGACACACAUGUUUAAAAUCGUGUUUACACUUGAAGUGACGUCGUGGACGACGGCUCGUCAGCAUUUAGUUCAUGCCGUAAAACAAAUGCGGUGAAAGGAGGAAUUACAUCCGACAUGUUUCAUCAGCUGUGGGACAACCACCCGCCAUUGUCCGCCAUAUUGAAGAUUCUCUGAUGACAUUUGAAGAUUAAAGAACUGCUGCGCCCUCUUGUGGUGGAGCUGAAUAGACAACUGCCAGGCUGCUCUAUCAGUCGGGACUCCGGCUCCGUGACUUUCACGCCUUACUUUGUGGAUCCCUGUGGAACAGAGUCACCUCCCGAUGUCACAAUUACACCAGCAUGACCAAUAAUACCACUGUGCCAAUCAGAUCACAGAUGACAGUGGCAGAGGAUGUGGGGGGGCAGGGGGGCGUGUUAACCUCCUAAUGUCCAGGAAGAUGUACCAACAUCAGCAGAAGAAUAAAUAAUUCAGCCAAUGAGAAUCGUCGACAUUCACGCUGUGAACUGAAUGGUAUGAGGAGGUAGGAGACAAAGGAAGGAGCUGAGAAAGGUGACAUGAAUACAACAAGUACUGUCUGCACAGACACCGGUGUGAGGAGG